GACGAACGCUGGCGGCGUGCCUAAUACAUGCAAGUCGAACGCAUUUUCUUUCACCGUAGCUUGCUACACCGAAAGAAAAUGAGUGGCGAACGGGUGAGUAACACGUGGGUAACCUGCCCAUCAGCGGGGGAUAACACUUGGAAACAGGUGCUAAUACCGCAUAAUUCCAUUUACCGCAUGGUAAAUGGAUGAAAGGCGCUUUUGCGUCACUGAUGGAUGGACCCGCGGUGCAUUAGCUAGUUGGUGGGGUAACGGCCUACCAAGGCUGCGAUGCAUAGCCGACCUGAGAGGGUGAUCGGCCACACUGGGACUGAGACACGGCCCAGACUCCUACGGGAGGCAGCAGUAGGGAAUCUUCGGUAAUGGACGCAAGUCUGACCGAGCAACGCCGCGUGAGUGAAGAAGGUUUUCGGAUUGUAAAACUCUGUUGUUAGAGAAGAACAAGGAUGAGAGUGGAAAGUUCAUCCCUUGACGGUAUCUAACCAGAAAGCCACGGCUAACUACGUG
rnacentral:rRNA from 1 species